rnacentral:rRNA from 1 species
UACGUAGGGGGCAAGCGUUGUCCGGAUUUAUUGGGCGUAAAGAGCGUGUAGGCGGCCUGGCAAGUCCGCUGUGAAAAACUCGAGGCUUAACCUCGAGACGUCGGUGGAAACUGCCUGGCUAGAGUCCGGAAGAGGAGAGUGGAAUUCCUGGUGUAGCGGUGAAAUGCGCAGAUAUCAGGAAGAACACCCGUGGCGAAGGCGGCUCUCUGGGCAUUACCUGACGCUGAGGAGCGAAAGUGUGGGGGAGCGAACAGG